UCAGCUUCUGAAAAGAAAUGCCUUGAUGAACCUGCUUGGAUGGGUAUAGUUAAGCCACGGUGUUAUAUUAGUCUCCUGUGUACGAUACAGGGAUUCAACAACCUUAUACAUGUCUCCGCUCUCAUCACGAAGCAGGAACUCAGGGGAGAAGAGGCCAUGAGAAGAUCCUGGAAAACGCAAGAAUCCUACAGACGGUCUCAAGACUCCACAGGCUGCAGGACAGAAAUUCAGUGGCCCUGGAUCCCAUGUUGCCUGGCAUUCAGGGUUGGGAGAACUUCAAGGGCAUCUGGGCUACAUCAUGGCUAAAAGCUGAGUGUUUCAUGAGUUCUUUCAGACCUAGACAAGCAUUUAUUUUAUUGAAUGUUUUAAUUUUAAACAUUAGGCCUUUCAAGAAGGAAUGGAGCUGAAAUUCCAUUCAUAUUGCUAUAAUCACCACGAUACCAUACUGCGGUAGUAGCAAUGAACUUUUUCAAACUUACAGUGUUCUUUGAUCUUCACCACUGUCUUGUCAGACAGCAAUGGCUGGUGGUAUUAAUUUUACGUUUCCAUUGGGAAACAAAGGCAAAAGACAUGAACGAUAAAGGCACGGUUUAGAGCCCAGUUCUGACAGUCGGUGCAGGGAGCCCCCCACCAAGGUGACCUUGGGAAGGGUCUUUGUUCUUUGCCCUCUGUUUUCCUCUCAAAUGAGCUAGCUGUGGAGUUCGAUUCUAAUUCGGAGCAAAUCAAUGUGUAGAAUCGCAUUUUAGAAUAUUCCAGCGAGGAGGUUAAAUCAUUUGGUCCUUAAGGUCUGAGUCUCAAAUCCAGCACCUUACCAUUUUCCUUUAAAAUCUGCACGUCGUUUGUCUGCAGGAGGGAGGGAGGGAAAAAGUGUGAUCACACUUCACUCUCCCUACAUUUUACAGCCACAUGUCAGCAGUAGGGGGCUUCCAGUCCUGGCCCAGGAGGGCCAUCUUCCUCUGGAAGGGAUAAGACCUAGAGGCCCCCACCCACUUGACUUGUCUUUUCAGGUAUCAUCUGUAGUCAGGUGAGGUCAAGUUUAAAUGAGACUCCCUAACAGGAAAGAGGACAAGAUCCCACAAAACCUAGGCCAAGGGGGGUUUGUGGUCCCAAAGGGGAGCAGCUUCACACUGGGGGGUGGGAGUACCGAGGGGAACCUUUCUCCUCUACCCUUGGCUCCAACAUCCCACUCACGUAUACUCACACUUCGUCUCAGAUGAUGCGCCCCAGAAUAACCGCAGCCACCACUGAGGAAGCCCUGAUGGGCCAGAUUCAUUUCCUGCCACUGAGUAUCCUUUCUUCACAGAAGGGAGCGCUAAGUGGCGGGGAUUGCAAGCCACCUGUCGGCAGGGUCAGUGUUUGAGCCUCUGCUACUGCAAAGCCAUAUGCUAUGCUGUUCCAUCCACUGCUUCCCCAAAGCCCGCCUAUGAGAAAAUAAAAAAAGGGGUGACUUUUCUCAUAAAUAUAAAUUCAUGUCUUUUUAUUUGGAAGACUACGUUCUUAGUUUUUCUGGUGUCAGACUGU